GGUAUUUUGACCUGAAGGAAAUCACAAAGGGAAUCUGUGUCUUCCUGUAGUCAGCCUUCACAAGGCAUCAGCUAUAGCAAGUUUGCACCAAGCAAUGCAGGCUGAUAAGAAAACAAAACCCCAGGAUGGCAGAGGGUGUGGUGAGGAUAAGGCAUGGAGUGAUGGGCUCUGGAACACAGCCUGGCCCUGAAGACUUCUGUCUGGGAACAUCUGCCCGGGAUCAGUUGCAGAGAUGCAGGUCUGAAGCUGGGGAGCACUUCCCUUUGAGGGAACAACAAAAUCAUACCUGGCACUCCUGGGUGCCUCAGCUGCCUGAACCUGUCAAGGCUGAGGAAGUUCCUCUGAUGGACCUGGAGCUGGACGCUAAGACCAGCAAUAAAAAUCUCCCCUCAAACAACACUGGCACCAAGGCCUCACUCAAUGCUCCAACCCUCAAGAAUUGACUGGGUGAGACUCGGUAGCCAGAUAAAGCAGUAAGGCACCAAUCCAUCACUUGGGGAAAGUCAGUAGCCAACAUCACAGUCUGUCACUCAGGAACAUGUCAGUGUUGCAAAAAAUUCAGCAAAAAAACCCACUUCCUUAACACCAGUAUUCAUUAAGAAGCAGGAAUUCUUUACUUGGCUGGAUGUGCAAGGGGAUAUCUCCUCCAAACACUGUGCAUGCUGAGGUAGGGAAAGUCUAUGUUUAUAUACCGUAUUUUACAUACAUAUUCAUAUUGAUUUUUCCAAAAUAAACAUAAAUAUGAUAA